rnacentral:tRNA from 1 species
AGUAAGAUGGUUGAGAAAUAGACAUUAGAUUGUAAAUCUAAUUACGAGGAUAGUCCCUCUCUUGCUA